UUUAUAAUAAUAUAUAAUAUAAUUUAAUUGACGUUAAUAAAUAAGUAUGUAAAAGUUUAUUUUAUUUCGAUGUUCACUUUAUAAGAGUUCAGGUAAAAAUGAGCUCGAGCGAAUUUGUUUUUUAAUUUAUCAGAUGAUUGUGUGUACAUGCUACGCUUGAAAAUCUAAGCUUAAAAUCUCCUUUUAGCGGUGUCAUAUGUGGUAAUAAGUAAUUAAUGACUUUUUGUAAAAAGAUAAAUUAAUAUUAAUUAAUAUUAACCUGUAAUACAGGGAGGAAGAUUUGCAAAAACCUUUUGGUGCAGAGUACAAUACAAAACAAUACUCAAACCCAACUAUAUGACGACACUGAAAAGAAAGAAAAUAGAAUCAUUAUCAAAAUAAACGAAAAAGCAACGUACAAGAUAUUAAUAUAAAUCUAAUGAACUGAAAGAAGAAAUUAAAUUAAACAAAAACAAGGAGGGGAGAGAAAAAAUGAGAGGGAGAUGCUGAAGGGGAGAUACUGGAAAUCUUAAGUUAGGAAAAGUAAAUGAACAGCACUCCUCCGUUUUAAAACUAGAAGUACAGAAAAAAUAUGUCUCGCGAUAAAGUAUUGCCAACUGAUGGAAAGGAGAUUUUAUUUAGGUCAAAUAUACCGAUCAGAGAAGCUGGUACGACCAAAAAUGUACAAGGUGAUAUGCCCCUGACAAAGUUAGUCGAAAGUUAACGAUCUUUGUCGUGAAAAAUACUUUUUUCAUUAUAACACAACCGAAUUUAAUAAUUUUUAAAUUUUUAUUGUAAAUUUACGUUUUCGAUAAUUUAUUACCAUAGUAAUUACUAUAAUUCUUAUAUUUUUUACAAACUAAAGCUAUAUACUUCCGAAGUAUUAGUUUUUGACUUUUGAUUAGAAUAGUUAUACUAUAGUAACCAAACAUCAAGUCGAUCAGUAAUCAAAAACGAUUAUGCUGUGAUGAUACGUGCACAUUCUGAUUUCUAUAUUCUCAAGUUAAUGUCAACAAUCUAAAGUUAAUGUGAGCAAUAACAAACUUUAGGUUUCCUAAAGGAAAAGGAAUUUAUACAAUAUUUCAAGUUGUAAUAAUUAUAUUAGAACGUCAAUACAUAUAGAUCGAAGAAUGAAGAUUAUUUGUUUUUGUACUUUUUAUUAUUGUAUACUAAAUGAAUAAUAAAAUAUUGCAGACUAA